ensembl:snoRNA
AUCCUUUUUAUGAUUCAUAAGAUGAUUGGAUUUUCACACUAUUGUGUGAGAUGUGUCCCCCGUAAACUUAAUACAAUGUCAACAUGUUACAUUAGAAA